GGCGCCGUAGCUUAGGGGACAAAGCGCCUGUCUUGUAAACAGGAGAUCCUGGGUUCAAAUCCCAGCGGUGCCU
rnacentral:tRNA from 1 species